rnacentral:rRNA from 1 species
CCCUGGUGGCGAGUGGCGAACGGGUGAGUAAUAUAUCGGAACAUAUCCGGAAGUGGGGGAUAACGUACCGAAAGGUACGCUAAUACCGCAUAUGCCCUGAGGGGGAAAGGAGGGGAUCGUAAGACCUUUCGCUUUCGGAGUGGCCGAUAUCGGAUUAGCUAGUUGGUGAGGUAAAGGCUCACCAAGGCGACGAUCCGUAGCUGGUCUGAGAGGACGACCAGCCACACUGGAACUGAGACACGGUCCAGACUCCUACGGGAGGCAGCAGUGGGGAAUUUUGGACAAUGGGGGAAACCCUGAUCCAGCCAUGCCGCGUGAGUGAAGAAGGCCUUCGGGUUGUAAAGCUCUUUCAGCCGGAAAGAAAGCGCACAGGUUAAUACCUUGUGUGGAUGACGGUACCGGAAGAAGAAGCACCGGCUAACUACGUGCCAGCAGCCGCGGUAAUA